UACGUAGGGGGCUAGCGUUGUCCGGAAUCAUUGGGCGUAAAGAGCGCGUAGGCGGCCCGGUAAGUCUGCUGUAAAAGUCAAAGGCUUAACCUUUGAAAGUCAGUGGAUACUGCCGGGCUAGAGUCCGGAAGAGGCGAGUGGAACUCCUGGUGUAGCGGUGGAAUGCGCAGAUAUCAGGAAGAACACCAACGGCGAAGGCAGCUCGCUGGGACGGAACUGACGCUGAGGUGCGAAAGCGUGGGGAGCAAACAGG
rnacentral:rRNA from 1 species